rnacentral:rRNA from 1 species
UGACAGUACUCCCACGGGGAGGCAGCAGUGGGGAAUAUUGCACAAUGGGGGAAACCCUGAUGCAGCCAUGCCGCGUGUGUGAAGAAGGCCUUCGGGUUGUAAAGCACUUUCAGUAGGGAGGAAGGUAGUGUAGUUAACACCUGCAUUAUUUGACGUUACCUACAGAAGAAGCACCGGCUAACUCCGUGCCAGCAGCCGCGGUAAUACGGAGGGUGCGAGCGUUAAUCGGAAUUACUGGGCGUAAAGCGCAUGCAGGCGGCCUGUUAAGUCAGAUGUGAAAGCCCGGGGCUUAACCUCGGAAUUGCAUUUGAAACUGGCAGGCUAGAGUCUUGUAGAGGGGGGUAGGAAUUUCAGGUGUAGCGGUGAAAUGCGUAGAGAUCUGAAGGAAUACCAGUGGCGAAGGCGGCCCCCUGGACAAAGACUGACGCUCAGAUGCGAAAGCGUGGGGAGCAAACAGGAUUAGAUACCCUGGUAG